rnacentral:rRNA from 1 species
UUUCCUGAAGAGUUUGAUCCUGGCUCAGCGCGAACGCUGGCGGCGUGCCUAACACAUGCAAGUCGUGCGGAGGGGUGAUGAGCCCCUCAGCGGCAAACGGGUGAGUAACACGUGAGUAACCUGCCCCUGGGAAGGGGAUAACCCUCCGAAAGGGGGGCUAAUACCCUAUAUUGCCGGGGACCACUAAGGUCACCCGGUGAAAGGUGGCCUCUGCCCUUCAUGGGUAUGCUACCGCCCAGGGAGGGGCUCGCGGCCCAUCAGGUAGUUGGUGGGGUAACGGCCUACCAAGCCUAUGACGGGUAGCCGGCCUGAGAGGGUGGCCGGCCACAGUGGGACUGAGACACGGCCCACACCCCUACGGGGGGCAGCAGUGGGGAAUCGUGGGCAAUGGGCGAAAGCCUGACCCCGCGACGCCGCGUGGGGGAUGAAGCCCUUCGGGGUGUAAACCCCUGUCGGGGGGGACGAUGUGUCCUGGGGUGAAUAAUCCCAGGGCAUGACGGUACCCCCAGAGGAAGGGACGGCUAACUACGUGCCAGCAGCCGCGGUAAUACGUAGGUCCCGAGCGUUGCGCGAAUUCACUGGGCGUAAAGCGUCCGCAGCCGGACGG